ACUUACAGCUUCUCUGGUGAUACUUUUGUACCUCCCCCAAGGCUGAGAAGUGGAAAAGAGAAGGUGUCCCUUCAAUACAGAGCUGCAUCAGCAUGGCUGAUCCAAGCAGAAACCAAGGGCUCUUCCUCUUUUAGUGAAGGCCUGUUCCUGUGGUGCUGUUUCCCAACUUGGUCCUUAUUUUGCUUUCCCUUAUGUGCCUAUCUCUUGAACAGAAUUACUUCCUCUAAUGAUGCAGCUAUCAAGAUAGCAGCUGGGAAAACGUGAAAACCCAAAGAAUUUAUGCAAAGAAAUACUAUGUCAGGCAUGUGAACUGAACUAGAAUUGCAUAUUCCUGCUGAGACUCACUCAAGCGCCAUCAUAUUUGCAAACGGGCACGUGGACGAAUAAGCUAACCUGGUAGAGAAAGAUGAUCCAAGGCCAAGACAUUAUUGCAUAUUUCAGAUAUUUGAAAUAAACAAAAAAUCUUCAUGCCGUUGUCUUGGAGUUUUUCUUACUUGAGAAAUGAAAAAUCAACACAAUUUUUUUGAUGAAAGCAGCCUUUAUGUAAAGUUGUUGUAAGUUGAGAACACAGAUCCCAUUAGAUGACUCAACAGCUAUAAUCCAGUUAUUUUACAAGAAGAAAAUAAUACAAUGGUCCUCAAAAAAGAAAUGGAAAAGAGAAAGACUCCAUUUUUUUUUUUAAUUCAUAAAAGGACUUUUCCAUGGAGUAACUGGCACUGAAAGGUGUCUAAAGGAAUUGUUAUGAAGAGUAAGUCAGGGGGAAACACUAAUUUUCUGAAAUCCUGCAAGGUCUUACAAAGUGCCCGAGAAAUCACUGAAAGCAUAUAUGGCUAGCCAGCUCUGCAGCAGAGCCCACCACAGCUCAAGAUCAAAUUUUCAAGAGCAGCUUAUGACUUCCUACUCUAUGUCAAUCAAUCUCCUCAAAGUUGACGUAAUGCCUACUGAAUUGAAGGGUUGACAACUGUACCUGGUCAUCAAUUUGCCUUUGAAUCAAGUUUUUCUUAUCUCUCUUCCUCUUCCAUAUAUUCCAGUCAUCAUUUCCAUCAUUAAAAAUUUUCCUGAUAAGAUUUGGCAUUAUCUAUAAAGCAGGAGUGGGGAACUGUGAACUAAAAUUGUCCUUCAUCUCUCUAAACCCCAAGUUGAUUUUUAUUUCCAUCUCAAGCAAUAGAAGACUUUUUAAAUUCCCUAAAGAAACUGAUGAAAUUUUGGUUUGUCCCUGAGGGGACCAUAUAUAAACAAGAACCAUACUCACCUUUUAAAACUGAUCUUGAGAAAAUGACGUGGAAAUGUUUUCCUACAUUUAAAAUAUUAUGAUGAUGACUUUCAAGUGGUAAUGUCAACAAUCUAGAACACAGCAGAAGACAAGAAAGGAAUGUUUUAUUCUACAUAUACACAAUCGGUGUUGCAAAAACCAUGCAGCAUAUAAUCCAGACAUUUUAUUAAUAGAAGAAUUAUUCAAACUUUUGUUCAAAAACAAUCCACAACAUGGUACAAGGGUCAGAUGGCCUAAUACCAAUCGAAGCUCUGCUGUGUACUCAUUGUAUGACCACUGGAAAAUAUCUCAACCUCUCUAUGUCACAGUUUUCUAAUCCAUAAAGUACUAUCUCCAUUAGGGUUCCUAUAAGGAUUAAAUAAGAUGAUCUACUUUAAAUGCAUAGAACAGAACCUAGCACAUAGAAAGUAUAUACUACAUACAAGUAAAUACUAUUUUAUAUACUUUUCUAGUAAACCUAGAAGUCUGAUUCUCAGGCAAUUGUCUAUUAGAUUUAGCAAAUCAGGAGAGGUGGGAGGGUACUAGUAAAAGGUCCAUUGUUAAUUCACACUACAUGAAGAGACAGAGAAAUUUUCAAAAGCACGCAAGAAUCCAAAAGGCAUAGCAGCUUCAAGCCAUAGAGCAUCACAGCCAGCAAUUUUUAGGUGAUUCACCCCCACCUUUCUUUUCUUUUUCCUCUCUAGCAACUACACAUGAGAGAAAACAUACAACCCCUGACCUUCUGAGUUUGAUUUAUUUCACUUAAUAUGGAGGUCUCUACUUUCAUCCAUUUUCCUAUAAAUGCCAAAAUUUCAUUUUUCUUUAUGG
rnacentral:lncRNA from 1 species